AAAUCCAGUGUGUUGUGGCUCCAUCCAGUACUUAUGUGCUGCUGAGCUGAGUGGAGCAGUAGAGUCUCAUCAACACUCACCAUGAAGAUCACACUCUCCUUAUUACUGAUACUACUCAGCUUCAGCAGUGUGAAAUGUCAAAAUAUGGAAUCUUUACAAACUGCAGUUCAGCUAAAACCUGGAGAAACUCUGAGUCUCUCCUGUAGAGGAUCUGGAUUUACUUUUAGCAGCUAUAACAUGCACUGGAUCAGACAACAGGCUGGAAAACCGCUGGAGUGGAUGGCCCGUGUUUCAGAUGGUGGAGGUAGCAAAAGCUACCCAGCUUCAUUUCAAGGCCGAACUGAAAUCACCAGAGACAAUUCCAACAGCAUGGUGUCUCUGAAACUGUCUGGUGUGACAGUCGAGGACUCAGCUGUGUAUUACUGUGCAAGAAGCUCACAGUGA